CAUCGUUGCCCGGGGAUUCUCUCCCAUGAUUCAAGGGCCGGAACCGCAAGGUUCCGGCCCUUUUUUUGGUCGCG
rnacentral:sRNA from 1 species